CGGGUGAGUAAUGCAUAGGAAUCUACCCAGUAGCGGGGGACAACCUGGUGAAAACCAGGCUAAUACCGCAUACGCCCUACGGGGGAAAGCAGGGGAUCUUCGGACCUUGCACUAUUGGAUGAGCCUAUGUCAGAUUAGCUAGUUGGUAGGGUAAUGGCCUACCAAGGCGACGAUCUGUAGCUGGUUUGAGAGGAUGAUCAGCCACACUGGGACUGAGACACGGCCCAG
rnacentral:rRNA from 1 species